GGGUAAGGCUCUGAUGGUCUAGCUUUUAUUCCGCAGUGCGCAUGAUAGUCAGUCAGGUGCAGGGGUAAUGCUGGGGCGGUGGGUUGGGCGAUGCGAGGGAGCUUUUCAGACCCUCUGAGGACUGCUCUGCACUGUGGAUAAUCUGCCCUAUGGGGCUUGAUAACCCCGGGAAACCGGGUAUAAUACUCCAUAGAGCAGGAGUGCUUUUCCCCCCCCUUUAACUGAAAGGCUCGGCGCCAUAGGGUGAACCCGCGGCAGACUAGGAAGUUGCUGGGUUGAGGAUGAGGGUAAAAAGAAACCGGUUCGGGGUGUGGCUCUCUCUCCUCUUUUAUAUGGGGGGGGGGGCGCGCGCCCCCCCCGCGCUACGGGGCGCCUCUUGUUUCUUACACUGGCAAUGGGGGGGGGGGGGUGGCCCCCCCCACCCCCGAGUGCACGGAAACACGGGCUGUCGCGAUAUUCCAACCACAUCGGAAGAAAGGCCCGGGAUUAAACAGGUGCCAGCCGCCCCGGUAAUAACGCCGGCCCGAGUGGGACCACAUUUUACUGGUCUUAAAGCGUCCCUACCUGAUUUUCAGUCUCUUGCGAAUCUCAUGAAUAACUGUUCGCAUGCAUAAUACUGUGAAUCUGGGGACAGGGAGAGUAGAGUUCUCAGGGAAAGUGAAGUCUGGAUCUCGUGUCCCAGAUGUUUAGGACUACAGAACGGCUCCAGGCGAGAAAACCUGGGGAGUCA
rnacentral:rRNA from 1 species